AUUGAACGCUGGCGGCAGGCCUAACACAUGCAAGUCGAGCGGAUGAAGGGAGCUUGCUCCCUGAUUUAGCGGCGGACGGGUGAGUAAUGCCUAGGAAUCUGCCUGGUAGUGGGGGAUAACGUUCCGAAAGGAACGCUAAUACCGCAUACGUCCUACGGGAGAAAGCAGGGGACCUUCGGGCCUUGCGCUAUCAGAUGAGCCUAGGUCGGAUUAGCUAGUUGGUGAGGUAAUGGCUCACCAAGGCGACGAUCCGUAACUGGUCUGAGAGGAUGAUCAGUCACACUGGAACUGAGACACGGUCCAGACUCCUACGGGAGGCAGCAGUGGGGAAUAUUGGACAAUGGGCGAAAGCCUGAUCCAGCCAUGCCGCGUGUGUGAAGAAGGUCUUCGGAUUGUAAAGCACUUUAAGUUGGGAGGAAGGGCAGUAAGCUAAUACCUUGCUGUUUUGACGUUACCGACAGAAUAAGCACCGGCUAACUUCGUGCCAGCCGCCGCCGUAACAC
rnacentral:rRNA from 1 species